rnacentral:rRNA from 1 species
CGGACGGGUGAGUAAUGUCUGGGAAACUGCCCGAUGGAGGGGAUAACUACUGAAACGGUAGCUAAUACCGCAUAACGUCGCAAGACCAAAGAGGGGGACCUUCGGGCCUCUUGCCAUCGGAUGUGCCCAGAUGGGAUUAGCUAGUAGGUGGGGUAACGGCUCACCUAGGCGACGAUCCCUAGCUGGUCUGAGAGGAUGACCAGCCACACUGGAACUGAGACACGGUCCAG